AUGCAUGAGCAGGUUUUCAGUCGGUGCAGAACAACUGAUCUUUGAAGGCUGCAGGUGAAACAAAGUGCUUUGUUUUUCUUUUUCUUUCCUUUUUUUUUUUAACGAUAUUCAUUUUUACGUUGCUUCUAUUGCAUCUGCGACAGAGUUGAACUUCAAGACGUUUCAGGUGAGAGAACGCAGGGAUCUGCUGACCUCUGCAGCCUAUCGGCAAAGUUGCACCAGGAAAUGGAUUUCUUUGGUUUUCGCAUCACAAUGACCAAAACUAAAGUUGACGUCAGCCGAAGACGCGGUGAGAUUGAAAUGAUUAAUUGCGAAUUGGUUUACACUCGCCAUCAUUUCCCCUCGGUGUUAUCCAUAAAGCAGAGCGGUGACGCUGUGCGCCGGGUCCCCUCUGGUUGCUGCUCAUCUUUAAAAAAAAAAAAAAAAAAAACCGGUCACCACAAAUUGGAUUCAACAAAUCCGCCGCUUCCCUCUGAUCGAGUUACUCUGUUUAUUGCCUCUUAUGAGUUUCCUCCGUCAGCAUCCAGCGGGUGCAGGAGAACAACCGGCUCCAGGCGCAAAAAGCAGGGAUUUUCCUGCUGGCAUUGUCAGCCGAACACGUGACUCCCAGCUUGGUAGGAAGCAAGACAACACAAACACUUCUGCUGGAAGAUGACACGAGCAAGGGUUCCCAUGGCAACUGUGGGAAAGACUGGUGGUGUGAGGAUGGCACCGGAGCAUUGUUCUCAUCGGGAGUGCUCUGAAUCAUCUGUCAGUGAGCUGUUUGCUGCUGCUGCAGCCACGGAAGGGAGACUGUGUGUUUGUGGAGCUUGUUUGCUGUAGCGAACUGUGUGUGGGUGUGUGUGUGUGUGUGUGUGGGUGCGCGCGCGCGCAGGACACACAACGUUGCUGACUGCUGCCUGCACCUAUUGGCUUCCAGGAGACUCAGAAUACUAAAACAGCUCAGCAAAAGUUUUCAUUCUCCCUGAGGCUUUAUUUACAUUUUGUCUCGCUUAUAUUUUAUUGGGAAUUUAUCGGAUGAACCGACCAAAUGCAACCCAGCGUUUGUAUUCCCACUGCUAAGGAGCUCAUUGUAAAACCGCCAGCUUUGUUGAUCUAAACGUGACAUUUUUGCCCCCCCUUUUAAUAAGUGAAAUCAUUUGGAUAGAUUUUGUAACCAGCAGAUAUGAAAUCUUGACACAUGUAGCUUGGAUUAAGGUCUAGACUCCAGACACAGACACCAUGUAUAGCUCUGGCUGCAUGUGUAAAGUGUAACUAACCCCCAAAUCAACUUGUUUUUUUUUUUGUUUUGUUUUCUUUGGUUGUAGUUGUUUUGUUUUGUUUUCUUCAUAAACUCUAAAUAAGUUAUUUAGGCUUCUGUCUUUAUAUUUCUAUUCAAAUUUGGACAUUUUUGUGUGGGUUUGUUUAGUUCCACUUCAUUUUCGCCUGAGUCUGUCUCAGUGCUGCCCCCUUUGGUCACAAAUAACUGACCACGUUUUGUCACUUUCGUCUCCUACUCUCCAGUUUCCAUUAUUUGCUAUCAUUUCAACAUUAUGCUUUCUUUCAGUUAAUUUUUCUUCCUGUUAAAGAGGAUUGUUUUCCUCUCUACUGUUGCUACAUGCAUGUUCAAUAUGAGGAGCAGCUGUAAAGUCAAUGAUACAACGCAAGCAAUCUAUAGAAAUAAAACCGAACUGAACUGAAAUCAAUGGUGGCAAAACUUCACCUUGAAAACUAAACACACACAUUGAUAACCAUCUAGUCCAGAGGAUCUGGCUCGUAUUUGCAGACUUUUAGCUCACGCUCCCUUCCUGACAGCAGUGUGAUUUCCUAACAGCCUCUGACUUGAAGAGUUGCUUUAACCUGAAGGCAUGCAGGGCAUGAUGCGAAAACAAACACAGGCAACAGAGACUGACUGUAGCUGUGCCAGAUCAGCAGGACGGUGCUAAACCUCCCUCUGAUGGAAUCUCUGAGCAGAGGCUCACCGCUGCAGGCCUCUGUCAGCACUUCCACCCGCAGCUCAGCCAUUCAACUCAUUCUUUGCUGCACAGCCAGUUCCUCUGCCACUGCACCUGCUGAUAUGGAUUUUACUUACAUACUGUAUAUAACUUUGUUGAUGCAAUUUAAAGGGUGUCUACACGCUGGAGUACUAGGGGCAUGGUAGGUACAGGGAUAGAGGAAGAGUAAAUCUCUGACAAUAAAGAAAGUAGAAACUUUCCAGAAAAAAUAAGGACAUUUCUGAGUUGGAAAAGUUGACGGUUUGCUAGAAAAACUUCGGAAAUAUCAAGAUUACUCUCAGAAAUUCCCUGGAAACAGCAAGUAAAUUUUUGAGUUUGAAAAGUUAAAAUUUUGUUAGAA